rnacentral:lncRNA from 1 species
CCCUAGUGGGCCUAACAUGAUGGCUGAUAGUGCCUGAAGCAGUGCGGUUGAGGGACUGGGCUGACUGGAGACUCUCCUGCUGUGUGACCACCUCAGGAGACAGCCAGGGGUUUUCAUCAAGAGGCGUGGGGCCUGGUGGUCACUGCUGGUGGCCCAAACAAAUCCCUAUGAUUUGCCCAGAGGAGGAGGAGGAGGAGAAGGAGUGCUCUUGUGAUCAUUUACAAGGAGGAGGCGAACAGAGUAACCGUCCCCUCAGGCGUCAUCUCCUCUUGUCUGCAUUUGCUGACCAAAGCUGCCCAGCUAGCAUUAGCAUUUGGCCACAUCUCAGCUGUGGGUGCCCGUCUGGGCUCAAAUAAAUGUGCCAUGGGCCAUGGGAAAACCUGUAGAUUUGGAGGAGCCUUACAGCUGUCUCAUGGAGUUCUCACAGCAGCCCCUCAAGAUGUUUUCAGCAAGUGCGUGCCUGGCAGGAGCCGAGAAAGCCCUCAAUGUGACGCAGAGUAAUUUAAGUUUCUGUGCUGUCACUAAGGACCUAACCUGUGACACAGUGCCAACAAGGUUGCUGAAGAGUGAAGAUCCCCAGAGAGCAUCACCUCCUGCAGGCUCCUGCCAGAAGCUCACAAAAUGCCAUCCCUACCUGCACUUGCUGGGCGGACUGUCCGCAGCAGAUCCUUAUCCUGUGAGCACCUAA